AGCGAACGCUGGCGGCAGGCCUAACACAUGCAAGUCGAACGAACCUUUCGGGGUUAGUGGCGGCCGGGUGUGUAACACGUGGGAACGUGCCUUUAGGGUCGGAAUAACUCAGGGAAACUUGUGCUAAUACCGAAUGUGCCCUUCGGGGGAAAGAUUUAUCGCCUUUAGAGCGGCCCGCGUCUGAUUAGCUAGUUGGUUGAGGUAAUGGCUCACCAAGGCGACGUUCAGUAGCUGGUAUGAGAGGAUGAUCAGCCACACUGGGACUGGGACACGGCCCAGACUCCUACGGGAGGCAGGAGUGGGGAAUGUUGCGAAAUGGGGGAAAGCAUGACGCAGUCAUGCCGCGUGAAUGAUGAAGGUCUUAGGAUUGUAAAAUUCUUUUAACGGGGACGAUAAUGACGGUACCCGGAGAAGAAGCCACGGCUAACUUCGUG
rnacentral:rRNA from 1 species